AAUGAACGCUGGCGGCAUGCCUAACACAUGCAAGUCGAACGAGACCUUCGGGUCUAGUGGCGCACGGGUGCGUAACGCAUGGGAACCUGCCCUUAGGUUCGGAAUAACUCUCCGAAAGGGGUGCUAAUAGCGGAUAAUGUCUUCGGACCAAAGAUUUAUCGCCUUAGGAUGGGCCCGCGUUGGAUUAGCUAGUUGGUAGGGUAAAAGCCUACCAAGGCGACGAUCCAUAGCUGGUCUGAGAGGAUGAUCAGCCACACUGGGACUGAGACACGGCCCAGACUCCUACGGGAGGCAGCAGUGGGGAAUAUUGGACAAUGGGCGAAAGCCUGAUCCAGCAAUGCCGCGUGAGUGAUGAAGGCCUUAGGGUUGUAAAGCUCUAUUACCCGGGAUGAUAAUGACAGUACCGGAAGAAUAAGCUCCGGCUAACUCCGUG
rnacentral:rRNA from 1 species